AGAUGGAGAGGAGAAGGUGAUGGCGAGUAGAAGGUGAUGGAGAGUAGAAGGAGAUAGAGAGUAGAAGGUGAUGGAGAGUAGAAGGAGAUGGAGAGGAGAAGGUGAUGGAGAGUAGAAGGAGAUGGAGAGGAGAAGGUGAUGGAGAGUAGAAGGUGAAGUUUUCAGAGUUUUGGCAUCGACUUGGUACCAAAGUAUUGGUUCUCAUGACAUCACUAGUUUGGUCUAUAAAAUGUCAGAAAAAAGUGAAAAAUACCCCCCCC